rnacentral:tRNA from 1 species
AAGAAAUUAGUUAAUAAUAACAUUAAAAUGUCAAUUUAAAAUAACCUUUAGGUAUUUCUUG